AAACCCUUCGAACCUGUAAAAACUACCCACGAGCCGGCAUGCCUACAUGCCCUCGUACUUGCACACGCAUGACAAUGUAUGCCUGCACGAGCAUGCCAGCACACUGUAGAGGAUAUCUUGUUAGCCUGCAAUGCGCACGGCUCCGCACGCGGGUCAUGUGUUGUGAUCGAUUAACGAACGUGGUUGGCUUGCAUACACGCGGCAUGGUGGCUGGUCCACCACUUGGUUGAUUGACAGCUGUUGAUUGCCCAUGCGAUAUGAUGGCUCCCAUUCACCUAAAAAACUAUUUAAAGGGC
rnacentral:lncRNA from 1 species